GGUUGACCUCGGAUCAGGUAGGAAUACCCGCUGAACUUAAGCAUAUCAAUAAGCGGAGGAAAAGAAACCAACAGGGAUUGCCCUAGUAACGGCGAGUGAAGCGGCAACAGCUCAAAUUUGAAAUCUGGCCCUCGGGUCCGAAUUGUAAUUUGUAGAGGAUGCUUUUGGUGAGGUACCUUCCGAGUUCCCUGGAACGGGACGCCAUAGAGGGUGAGAGCCCCGUCUGGUUGGAUACCGAUCCUCUGUAAAGCUCCUUCGACGAGUCGAGUAGUUUGGGAAUGCUGCUCUAAAUGGGAGGUAUAUGUCUUCUAAAGCUAAAUAUUGGCCAGAGACCGAUAGCGCACAAGUAGAGUGAUCGAAA
rnacentral:rRNA from 2 species